UCCUACGUAGGGAGGUGUCCGCCACGUGACGGGAUCGAAGGACGAGACAAUUCAGAAACCACAAAAGUCUCGCAUAGAUCGGCGGUAUCAGAAGCUUCGGGUGGUGAUCGACGAAUUAUGGAGGUGGAAGGUCAAAUCGGACCAAUUAGAUGAAGUGCAGUGGCUGUUGGACGAGAGAGUUUUACGACGGAAAAGGAUUUGGAGAAAUUGGCUAGUCAGUCAGGGGCUUCACACACGUUCUAAUGGUUUGCCUAGAGCCAGCGCAAUUCUGUUCUCAGGUACAUAUAAUAACUCAAACCUGGAACAUCGAAUUAGAGAUUCCUCACUAGGGUUAGGUUUAUCGGGGAAUGACCGAAUGAUUUUGGAGAAUCGUGAAAAGUUUGGUCCAGAGACUGCGUUUGAAGGGUGAAAAUCAACAUACAGUAUAGAGUGCCACAGACAAAUUCAGCUGGAAGUAAAGAUUCAAAGCGUUGAAGAUUCUAGUCCGGUGACAACACUGGUUUGUGCCAUAGGAUCGAUUGAUUGUCUCCAACUUUGGGCACAGACACAUUUGAAGAUUAAUUUGGUGCUUAAUUUCAACUACGGUGAAGGAAUCAGUUGAGGACUGAGGAAUCUUGUCGGGUGUAGAUAGAGACUUAAGUGUGUAAAGACUUAGCUUUUCAGUUAGAAAGCUAGAGGAAUCAAAAAAAUCGUGAAUUCUUUUAGACUUAAGCUUAGCAUCAGUUCGUGGCUUCUCCCGUCUUCGAAAUUUCUCAUCUUUCAGGUCGUGGCUCUCUUGUUGCUAAGUGCUGUUUUGUUUUUGCUCAUCAUGAAGAGAGCAUCAACACAUUUUAACAUGUCACUUUGAUCAAAGAGACGAGGAAAAGCAUAAGACUUGAAAUGGUUUAAGAGGCACCAGAAGGUGAUCUUGUUGUGUAAUGAUCUAGUUUGUGAUAUCAAGAUGGUGAUUACAUCAUCACGAUGUCUACUAGUUUUCGUCAGACACAUGAGGACCCUCAGUUUGUGGUAGUGUGCUUGAAGCAAUCCCAUGGUUGUGUGGAAAACAGACACUGAUAGUCUUGAAUGUGGACUAACUAUAUCGUCCUUGCAAAACACGUACGCUCACACUUUUUGUAAUACAAGGAAUCAAAAACCAUAUUCAUCUUCUUUACUCUA